GCGCUCAGCGGUCCAGAAGGAGGCCGUGUCUCCGAAACAGAAGGUUAGGGGUUCGAGUCCCUUCGGGCGCA
rnacentral:tRNA from 2 species